rnacentral:rRNA from 1 species
GCAGCGCGGGGCAACCUGGCGGCGAGUGGCGAACGGGUGAGUAAUAUAUCGGAACGUGCCCUGGAGUGGGGGAUAACGCAGCGAAAGUUGCGCUAAUACCGCAUACGAUCUAAGGAUGAAAGCGGGGGAUUCGCAAGAACCUCGUGCUCCUGGAGCGGCCGAUAUCUGAUUAGCUAGUUGGUGGGGUAAAGGCCUACCAAGGCAUCGAUCAGUAGCUGGUCUGAGAGGACGACCAGCCACACUGGAACUGAGACACGGUCCAGACUCCUACGGGAGGCAGCAGUGGGGAAUUUUGGACAAUGGGCGAAAGCCUGAUCCAGCAAUGCCGCGUGAGUGAAGAAGGCCUUCGGGUUGUAAAGCUCUUUUGUCAGGGAAGAAACGGUGAAGGCUAAUAUCCUUUGCUAAUGACGGUACCUGAAGAAUAAGCACCGGCUAACUACGUGCCAGCAGCCGCGGUAAUACGUAGGGUGCAAGCGUUAAUCGGAAUUACUGGGCGUAAAGCGUGCGCAGGCGGUUUUGUAAGUCUGUCGUGAAAUCCCCGGGCUCAACCUGGGAAUUGCGAUGGAGACUGCAAGGCUAGAAUCUGGCAGAGGGGGGUAGAAUUCCACGUGUAGCAGUGAAAUGCGUAGAGAUGUGGAGGAACACCGAUGGCGAAGGCAGCCCCCUGGGUCAAGAUUGACGCUCAUGCACGAAAGCGUGGGGAGCAAACAGGAUUAGAUACCUUGGUAGUCCACGCCCUAAACGAUGUCUACUAGUUGUCGGGUUUUAAUUAACUUGGUAACGCAGCUAACGCGUGAAGUAGACCGCCUGGGGAGUACGGUCGCAAGAUUAAAACUCAAAGGAAUUGACGGGGACCCGCACAAGCGGUGGAUGAUGUGGAUUAAUUCGAUGCAACGCGAAAAACCUUACCUACCCUUGACAUGUACGGAAGCCACGANAGNU